rnacentral:rRNA from 1 species
ACGGAGGAUGCGAGCGUUAUCCGGAUUUAUUGGGUUUAAAGGGUGCGUAGGCGGAUAGAUAAGUCAGUGGUGAAAACCUGCAGCUUAACUGUAGACUUGCCGUUGAUACUGUCAGUCUUGAGUAUGGUCAAGGUAGGCGGAAUGUGUAAUGUCGCGGUGAGAUGCUUAGUUAUUACAGAUAACACCGAUUGCGAAGGCAACUGGCUAGGCCAUUACUCACGCGUAUUCCCGAUACCGUGGUGAUCGCACAG